rnacentral:rRNA from 1 species
ACGCACAUUGCGCCCUCUGGUAUUCCGGAGGGCAUGCCUGUUUGAGCGUCGUU